UGGGGAAUAUUGCGCAAUGGGGGGAACCCUGACGCAGCAACGCCGCGUGGAGGAAGAAGGUCUUCGGAUUGUAAACUCCUGUCUUCUGGGAAGAUAAUGACGGUACCAGAGGAGGAAGCCACGGCUAACUACGUGCCAGCAGCCGCGGUAAUACGUAGGUGGCGAGCGUUGUCCGGAAUUACUGGGCGUAAAGGGCGCGUAGGCGGUUAAUUAAGUCAGAUGUGAAAACCCGGGGCUUAACUCCGGGAUUGCAUUUGAAACUGGAUAGCUUGAGUGCAGGAGAGGUAAGUGGAAUUCCUAGUGUAGCGGUGAAAUGCGUAGAUAUUAGGAGGAACACCAGUGGCGAAGGCGACUUACUGGACUGUAACUGACGCUGAGGCGCGAAAGCGUGGGGAGCAAACAGG
rnacentral:rRNA from 2 species